rnacentral:rRNA from 1 species
GGCCUAACACAUGCAAGUCGAGCGGAAACGACACUAACAAUCCUUCGGGUGCGUUAAUGGGCGUCGAGCGGCGGACGGGUGAGUAAUGCCUAGGAAAUUGCCUUGAUGUGGGGGAUAACCAUUGGAAACGAUGGCUAAUACCGCAUGAUGCCUACGGGCCAAAGAGGGGGACCUUCGGGCCUCUCGCGUCAAGAUAUGCCUAGGUGGGAUUAGCUAGUUGGUGAGGUAAUGGCUCACCAAGGCGACGAUCCCUAGCUGGUCUGAGAGGAUGAUCAGCCACACUGGAACUGAGACACGGUCCAGACUCCUACGGGAGGCAGCAGUGGGGAAUAUUGCACAAUGGGCGAAAGCCUGAUGCAGCCAUGCCGCGUGUAUGAAGAAGGCCUUCGGGUUGUAAAGUACUUUCAGUUGUGAGGAAGGGUGUGUAGUUAAUAGCUGCGCAUCUUGACGUUAGCAACAGAAGAAGCACCGGCUAACUCCGUGCCAGCAGCCGCGGUAAUACGGAGGGUGCGAGCGUUAAUCGGAAUUACUGGGCGUAAAGCGCAUGCAGGUGGUUCAUUAAGUCAGAUGUGAAAGCCCGGGGCUCAACCUCGGAACUGCAUUUGAAACUGGUGAACUAAAUGACUGUAGAGGGGGGUAGAAUUUCAGG